rnacentral:misc_RNA from 1 species
GCAAACUUGGUCAUUUAGAGGAAGUAAAAGUCGUAACAAGGUUUCCGUAGGUGAACCUGCGGAAGGAUCAUCAGAGGAAAUAUUUAUAAUGUUUUCACAAUUGGCGGAUGAAAAUCCCACAAUGUGGAUUCAUUUUUUCCACAGCACCCAACCAACCAGCGAGGCAUUGACUGAGGCGAGUGUUGGGAUUUGGAAGGAGAAACAAAACUUUCAACAACGGAUCUCUUGGCUCUCACAUCGAUGAAGAACGCAGC